rnacentral:misc_RNA from 1 species
GUAUGUCUCUUCAUGUAGAUGUACAUUGUCUGAGGAAGCUUGUUUGUGUUGUGAAAUCCAAAAAGUUGCUGUCCACGCCAUUGUUACUUGUCCAGCAUCACAACUAAUCAUGUGUUAAUAAUAUUUUUAAGGAUUGUAAACCAUUCUGUAAAGUAAGUUUCAAAGAAUUUUGGUCAAACUUUCACCAAGUUGAGCAUCUAACUCCUAGAAAUGUUGGAGUGGGUAUAACUAAUGGCUGAUGUUUGAUUCCACUUAAAUUUAAGCAAAACUUAGGUUUUGAUAAUGGUGGCAUGAUAGUAUAAUUGGUGGCUGAUUACAUACAGUUAAAUUGUUAUUUUUAGGUUUAAAGUCCAAAUUAGGGCCCCCGUCUGUAUCAUUAAAGUUAACUAGACCCUCAAAUAGGCCCUUACAAGGUUUGUCAUUGAGCAAUUGAGCAUUUUCUUCAAAUUAGAGUAGGAUUGGCACAUGAAACACAGAUGUUAGCCUAAUAUAAUAUUCGUUGUCUGAAACAAGCAUUAAAGGUACAAAAAAAAUAAAAAUUCCCAAAUUAGGGUUCAUAUUUAGAAUUUAUAGAGUUUUAUUUUCGAACCUUUAAUUCAUGUUUUAGACAAUGGAUGCUAUAUUAAUAUUUUGGUGUUUCACAUGCCACCGCGUUCUCUAAUAUAAGGGAAAUAAUCGGGCUUUAUGCUUAAUUUCGAACUUUAUAAGGGUCUUAUUGAACCAAAUUGAAAUAUGAGGUCCUAAUCGACUUUGAAGGUAAAGUUGGAGGGUUAAUUGGUUUUGGUCUUAUUUUUAACAUAAUUAGCAUCUAAAGUUUGAGUCAUCACAGGCAGUCAAAGAUGAAUUGGGGGUCUAAAUAUUUUCAGGCAAGAAAGUUAAAGCUUUCUUUCUGAUACUUUUAACUGUUUAUUGAAGGUGUGAUUUUCCUCUGGCAAUGGCAUGUAAUUUCUUGAUGCUAAAGUUGUAUGACAUUAUAUGUCUUUUAUCUGUUAUCACUGUUUGGUCAUGGGUGAGGUCUGAAUAAAUCAUGUAUGAGAUUUGAACCUUCUAGCAUAGCAUAAAAGAUCAAUUUAUGUUUAAUUGAUUUACUAUGGAGUGUUUUCUCCUUGCACUGUCAAAAUUAUUGCCUCCCAAAGACAAGCUUGCCAAAAAAGACUGCAUUGUUUUUCAUUUGGAUACUAACUGUUGUCUAAAAUUCUAUGCACAAAUGCUUUUUGAGAUAACGAGGAUGACCUUAUGAUGCAGCUGAGGUAGCUUGGCAUGAGAGACGAAAACAGUGGGUGGGUGAUCCAUCUCAAAAGUCACAGAGAAUGUUUCGAGAACCGAUUAUGAGGUUUCUAUUACUUUUUUAAAUUGUGCAUUGGCCCAUACAUGAUUUAUUGUUGUCUGCAGUUCCUCUGGCUGAGAUUUUCUUUUUCUUUAUUGUUGGAAUCAGCCUGUUUAAUUUCCUUUCAGUUUUCUUUUCUCACUAUCAUAUAAGCAAAUAGCUGAUAAACUGAUGGGAAGCUUGAAGCAUGCCUUCUGUUUUCUAGUCAAUCAUCAUAAAUUAGUGUUUAGUGGUGCUUGAAGCAUGCUUACAGUAUUCACCUUUAUGCAUUUGUAUUAUGAUUACCCUGAUAAUGAAAUUGUUAGGCAAUCUUUCUUCUAAGAGGGGAGGGGAAGGGAAGGAAAUGAGUACAUUAGUUAAAGGAAUUUUGAUCUGAUAUUUUGGGAAGUUUAGUCAGAGGUUUAUGACUGUCUUUUGCCUCUCGUAUAAAGGUUUUCUUUGGCUAAUAUGUAUAUUGUUGAUAUUUGUAGCAGUAACAUGAUCUUUUUGGUUUAAAAUGACCUUAUUUAUACAUACCCUUUUCUUUCCAUUGAAGGGAAAGAAAAUGCUGAUGUUCAGAAGUUGUGGGAGGCUUAUGGCUCAUGUCAUGCGUCAACUGUGUACGAUUUUAUCAUUUUUGUUCCAACAGGAAAUAAACAUGGAGUCUUAUUUUGCAGCUUGACCACAACAUAUGAGGAUCUGCUUUGCUCUACAGAACCUUUUCAACAGCCAAUACCAUUAGCUGUAAGUUUCCUUGGAACGGUUUCCGUGUCCGUUAUCACUAGCGGGAUAAUGUUGAUGUGCUUUUUUAUUUGGUUGAAUGUGCAGGAGAUGGUGGACUUUUUAGUUGACAUAUGGCAUGAAGAAGGCCUUUAUGACUAGAUUAUUGGGAAAUUAGUCAUGUUGGCUGCGCAGUUUUGUUUGUGCUGAUUAAUGAAGAUUAAACAAACCCAUAGGUUGCAUUGACGUUUACCCUGGACAUUGAUUGAAUGGUACAUAAUUGAUUCUCUUGUUCUUGAUUUCCUGAACAACAUUUGAAAUGUAGAGUUUAUUUAAAUCUAGAAUCUUGCUAGCCGUUUUACAGUUGGUAUUUAAUGAUAGUCCAUAUGUUAAACUAAACUUCAGAAGUCAAACUGUCUUUCUAUUGAUCUUCAUCUUCCUGUUAUUCUGGCAAAGCAUGGUAGCUUUGAGAACAGAGGACACAAUAGCAAAAGUUUGAGUAUUGAUGAUUAAUAUGGACUUAUAAUGUGAAGAAUUGUAUGACGAUUAGGCUGUUUUUUGUUGUCACUGCCUUCUUUUUCUCUGCACUUCCUGCUAUGUGCGGAAGUGCCAUUCAUUAAUUUUUGUCGCAUUACAUUGUAUGUUUCUCACUCGUUUUCUUUCACCGUUUUUCAUUUCAAGAAUAGUCGGUUAAAUCUUU